AUUCCGUCUCAAGCACUCCAAUUUGCCGCCUCCCAUUGCGAUGGAAGCAAAUUCUAAACCCUAGCCGCAUAGGAAUUUGCACUCCCAAAUCCCAAUAGGAAUUUGCUUCCCAUUGCGAUGGCCGAUGGGUUUUACCCCUCUCUCCUCGUCGAGCCGUCGGCUCAGACCCUAAACCCUAGCCGCUGCCCACCCAGUCCGCUUCACCAUGGAGGACGCCCUCGCGCCGCCGCCCGUGGCGCCAUCCCCCGCUCCCCUCGCCGCCGUGCUCACUCGCCGGCGGUCACACCUCGACAGCGCCUCCUACCGCACGCUCUCCCGCCUCUUCUCCCAUUGCUUGCACCUCCACCCGUCGCGUCGCGAGGUCCCCGCGACGCCCGAGCCCGCCGCCGCGAACCCUACCGGCGUGGAGUCCGGCGAUCCCCCGCGGGCGCCUAAGGACGCCGAUGUUGAUCGGCGGAAGGAUGUGGAAAAGGAGGCGGCGGCUGCGGGAAGCUCUUCGCGUCACGAGACCGUCUCGCCAGCGAGGGAUGAACCCGCCGCGGCGAAUCCUACCGGAGACCCGGGUGAGGCUGAGGCUCCGCAGGGCUCGCUGGAGGAUGUGGACGAGGCAGUUGUUGUAGAAAGCACCUGCGGUAAGACUGGUGCCGGGGGUGAGGAGUCGGGGGUUGGAGCUGGACCGGUGGUGGAAGAUGAGGCUCUGAAGUCGGUGAAGGCUUGCUUGGAGGGAGAGUUUGAUGAAUCGGUAGAAGGGGCAGUGGUUAAUACCGAUGGACAGCUGCUGCUUGACGCGAUGAUGACCAACUUUACAGUGAUGAUUGAUGAUGAUGAUGCUGGUGCGAUGCCAGCACAGACUUGUGCGGUUUCCGGGGGCGAGCUGCAGAAUAGCAAAGCAUCUGAGGAGUUGAAACAAUCGGAAAGUGGGAUUGAAGACGGCAGACUUGUGAGCAAUUCUGAUCGCAAGAAGAUAGAUGGUGGUGGUUUCGAAGAAGGAGAGAUUGAGGGUGAGCUGAAGGAUUUGGAUUCACAAGAAUUUGGAGAUUUGGAGCUUGGAGAUGAUGAGAAAUUGGAAGGGUGUUCCGUUAGCAGAGGCUCAGGGGUGAAUAAAUCUUGUGAUCAUGAUUUGCGGUGUGGGAAUUUGCAUUUGACACCUGAAAUUAAAGGAAAUGGUGAUCUUAUAGUGAACAAAGAUGCUAAUGUCAGGGAUGAUGCGCAAAUUUGUGUUACCAGGGCUCAAGCUGUCAGUUAUGAUGAAGUUGUGGAUUGGAAUGAGACACCACUGCCUGACGAUGAGGCUCCCAACCCCGGGAAGAAGAGAAAACGCCAUGUGACAGAAGAGAGAAAGGCUCAGAAGACGAAAAGGAAAAGAAUUAAUAGAGCACAGCAACGGAUAGCUGAAGGAGUCAACAAACUGAUACUUCGACCUGUUAUAAAGCUGAAGGCAGUGAAAAAAUGCCACUUCUACGACCAUGGGAAGUGCCAGCAGGGCAAUAGUUGCAAGUUCUCCCAUGAUUUUACGCCUUCAACAAAAUCUAAGGCCUGCUCACAUUUUGCGCGUGGUUCUUGUUUGAAAGGAGAUGAUUGUCCAUAUGAUCAUGAGUUGUCAAAACACUGCUGCCAUAACUUUAAAAAUGGCAUGUGCUUCAGAGGUGAUAAAUGCAAAUUUUCUCAUGUGAUGCUAACUACAGAAAGUACUUCCACACAAGAUGCAAAGGAAUCUGAUGCCUCGUUGGCAUUUGAAAAAACAAACCUGAGAGAGCAUACAAGUAACCAGAAAACCACAACAGUUGGUGAACCUGUGAUCUCUGCUCCCACCAAACAACAGUAUUCCAUCCUUAAAAACCUGGCUGGCAUCUCAAUCAAUUCUCAAAAAGUUUCUACUCGUAUUCCGAAGGGUGUGCAGUUUCUUCCCUUCGGUAAAGGUGGAUCAAAUUCGAGCAGUCUGCAUCAGGAUGCGUUGUCCAUUGAGAAGCAUAGGAAUGCAAAUGGCAGUCAACAUCAGUACCUUGGAGGACAUCAAACAGAAAAACCAGUUCCACUGCUAGAUGAGAAGAAUUCAACAAAAGAAGCUACUAUGCAUCCAUGUUCAGACCCAAAGAAAGCUAGUUUACCUAUUGAUUCUACUGCAACACCUGGAUUAAUACAUACUCAGCGUGAAGUCUUAGAAGCCUCUAGGAUUUUGCAGGAGUUCUUGUUUGGUGCCGGCAGUUAGAGGAAAAUAUGAAUAAGAUGGCAAAGAUUUACUAUGGGUCUAUGAAGAAUGACUAUUAUGUACUGAGUGAACUUCUGUUUAACCCACAUGGUAGUUACAUGGAGCAAGUCAGUUCUUACACUGGAUGUAAGCUUACUGCUUUGGCACGGAAGACUGGCGUGAUUCCUUUGUUUUGUUGUCAUGGAAAAGUUGAACUCCAAUUUUUUUAGCACAUUUCUGGCUGUUGAGCUACCCGUUGAAAGAUGUUGUACACGGGAUGAUUUCUCCAGCUGCUUAGCUAUCAAGCUUCUGCCUUGCUCAAAGGUGCCAGGGAAUCCAGAUACAUCCAUGCAAAAGCUUUGCCACGUGAUCAUGGCAGCUAUUGCGAUUGCAAUUAGUCUUGUAUCAUCAUGAUUUCGAGCACAUGUGUGGCAGACUUAUUGGUCCUUCACUGGAGACCAAUGUUAGCCUGGUGCAGUGCAUGGUUUGAACUUACAAUCUUACAUGCAUACGGUACUGGUGAUCUGCUAUCCCUUUGGUUCAGAAUUACUUGUGAAGUAGCUGGAGACCGCGGGACACCAGGGCAGAUUCUGAAGGCCCCAGAUAUGAGCUGGAUCGUAUGGCUGUUGCUUUGUCUCAAAAGCAGCUCGGCCUGUCCUGUGCCUACCUGCUGUCAAAAUCUCAGCUGCUGUUGCAUCAAUUCAGAAUUACAUUCACAUGAUCACUUUUUUUUUUAACCAUGAAUUCACAUGAUCACAGAGAGGGCUCACAUGCUGUUGUAUCACUUCCAGCUUGCUAUGCAAGCAGACAUGUGAGUUAUGUCCCUCUACUCCUGCUUGACUGCUGUCACAUGACCAAAUGACUGUGACUCUGUAUCAGUCAGUUUCUUCAAUUUCUCAUAUGAUGAUGCCCUAUCC